GAUGAACGCUGGCGGCGUGCCUAAUACAUGCAAGUCGAGCGAACAGACGAGGAGCUUGCUCCUCUGACGUUAGCGGCGGACGGGUGAGUAACACGUGGAUAACCUACCUAUAAGACUGGGAUAACUUCGGGAAACCGGAGCUAAUACCGGAUAAUAUAUUUAACCGCAUGGUUCAAUAUUGAAAGACGGUUUUGCUUUCACUUAUAGAUGGAUCCGCGCCGCAUUAGCUAGUUGGUAAGGUAACGGCUUACCAAGGCAACGAUGCGUAGCCGACCUGAGAGGGUGAUCGGCCACACUGGAACUGAGACACGGUCCAGACUCCUACGGGAGGCAGCAGUAGGGAAUCUUCCGCAAUGGGCGAAAGCCUGACGGAGCAACGCCGCGUGAGUGAUGAAGGUCUUCGGAUCGUAAAACUCUGUUAUUAGGGAAGAACAAAUGUGUAAGUAACUAUGCACGUCUUGACGGUACCUAAUCAGAAAGCCACGGCUAACUACGUG
rnacentral:rRNA from 1 species